rnacentral:misc_RNA from 1 species
GAAAUGCGAUAAGUAGUGUGAAUUGCAGAAUUCAGUGAAUCAUCGAAUCUUUUAACGCACAUUGCGCCCCUUGGUAUUCCAUGGGGCAUGCCUGUUCGAGCGUCAUUUGUACCCUCAAGCUCUGCUUGGUGUUGGGUGUUUGUCCCGUCUCCGCGCGUGGACUCGCCCCAAAGUGAUUGGCAGCCGGCGUACUGGUCCCGGAGCGCAGCACAUGUCGCGCAAACGAGUGCCUUGGUACGGCGGCGUCCAUAAGCCCCUCUCUCACGCUCUUGACCUCGGAUCAGGUAGGGAUACCCGCUGAACUUAAGC